CUAAGGCUGUGCGUAGUGGCAGUGGGGGCUGGCUCAGCCCUUCCGUUGUCAGUCACUUUCCUCUUUUCUAAGUGUAAUUUUGUGCCAUUUAAGCAGGCGGUGGAGACACUGGUGUUGAGCGUGAGACUUCUUCGGCCCACACUGAAGGCACCAGAAGGGACCCAGGAGGUCGGGCUCCGUGUUUAAAGAUGCACAAUCAUGUAGCACAGUGAUGUUAAGUCCAUUCUUGCUGCAAAAGAAGGCCAUUGUACUUCCUGACCCCGAAAUCAAGGAGAGCUGAGUUUUCAAACAUCCACUGGUCUCCUGAUGGCAGAAAGGCAAGGUUUCCCAAAACCUAUGGAGGACACGCACAUCCUUUAUGUGUGCACAGGUAGUGGCCAAGACAUGCUAAAUGCUAAAAAGAACAAAGACGGGGCUAGAGAUUUAGCUCAGCAGCAUAAGCACCUGACUUGCAAGCAGGCAGUCGUGAGUUCGAUCCCAGUACCAAUAAAAAGGAAAAAGACAAAAAAAAAAAAAAAAAAAAAAAAAAAAAAAGAAGAAGAAG